GACGAAUGCUGGCUGCGUGUUUAACACAUGCAAGUCGAACGGUGAACAGGGGCUUGCCCCUGGGAUCAGUGGCGAACGGGUGAGUAACACGUGGGCAACCUGCCCCUCACUCUGGGAUAACUCCGGGAAACGGGGCUAAUACCGGAUACGACCUGGUGCGACAUCGCACCGGGUGGAAAGAACUUCGGUGAGGGAUGGGCCCGCGGCCUAUCAGCUUGUUGGUGGGGUAACGGCCCACCAAGGCGACGACGGGUAGCCGGCCUGAGAGGGCGACCGGCCACACUGGGACUGAGACACGGCCCAGACUCCUACGGGAGGCAGCAGUGGGGAAUAUUGCGCAAUGGGCGAAAGCCUGACGCAGCGACGCAGCGUGAGGGACGAAGGCCUUCGGGUUGUAAACCUCUUUCAGCGGGGACGAAGCGCAAGUGACGGUACCCGCAGAAGAAGCACCGGCUAACUACGUGCCAGCAGCCGCCGUAA
rnacentral:rRNA from 1 species